rnacentral:rRNA from 1 species
GAUCCUGGCUCAGGACGAACGCUGGCGGCGUGCUUAACACAUGCAAGUCGAACGGAAAGGCCCUGCUUGCAGGGUACUCGAGUGGCGAACGGGUGAGUAACACGUGGGUGAUCUGCCCUGCACUUCGGGAUAAGCCUGGGAAACUGGGUCUAAUACCGGAUAGGAGCCAUUUUUAGUGUGAUGGUUGGAAAGUUUUUUCGGUGUAGGAUGAGCUCGCGGCCUAUCAGCUUGUUGGUGGGGUAAUGGCCUACCAAGG